rnacentral:rRNA from 1 species
UACGUAGGGUGCGAGCGUUGUCCGGAAUUAUUGGGCGUAAAGAGCUCGUAGGCGGUGUGUCACGUCGGCCGUGAAAACCUGCAGCUUAACUGUGGGCGUGCGGUCGAUACGGGCAUCACUGGAGUUCGGCAGGGGAGAGUGGAAUUCCUGGUGUAGCGGUGAAAUGCGUAGAUAUCAGGAGGAAUACCGGUGGCGAAAGCGACUCUCUGGACGGCAACUGACGCUGAGGCACGAAAGCGUGGGGAGCAAACAGG